CCCUUAGAUGUUCCGGGCCGCACGCGCGCUACACUGUUCGACGCAGCGAGUCUUAACCUUGACCGAAAGGUUUGGGUAAUCUUCAGCAAAGUCGAACGUGAUGGGGAUCGAUCAUUGCAAUUAUUGAUCGUGAACGAGGAAUUCCUAGUAAGUGCAAGUCAUCAGCUUGCGCUGAUUACGUCCCUGCCCUUUGUACACACCGCCCGUCGCUACUACCGAUUGAAUGGUUUAGUGAGAUCUCUGGAUUGACGCUGGCUAGGGGGCGACCCUUGGCCAGACUGUUGAGAAACUGCUCAAACUUGAUCAUUUAGAGGAAGUAAAAGUCGUAACA
rnacentral:rRNA from 1 species